CAGUGAUAGCUGCGUACUUCUGCGUUAGUAGCAGAAACACCGAGGGCUCCGAGGGACCGGCGACGGGCGGCUUUCCGUCACGCCCGGCCGUCUUGGACAGCGGCGCUCGUGGAGCCGGAGCGUAACGUCCUCCUGAGCGCCACCAUGGGCUCCCCUUAAGCGGUACCGGAGCGUAAGACUGGAGAGCCCGCAGAUGCCCCCGUCCUCUUGCGGGACCAUUUCAUCUUCAGAGAAGCCGAACGGUUGUAUCGGUCCAAAUCCGGACGCCUGCGAGCCGCGGGCGAUGCCCUGUUGCCCAGUCGUGCAGAGCGGCGGAGAACCCGGCGUUUCCCGGCUGAGGUGGAUACCGCAACCCGCAGGUCAGGGAUCGGGUAAAAGCCGUUUAGGGCUCAGUGCGAAGCUGAACCCGCUGAUCAGCCUCCCCCCGACAUGCAUGCAUCCCGUACACAGCUCCGGUGUGCUGGGACUGUCACCACUUCCCCGAGUUGUUUUUUCUUUCCUCGGUUCCGCGAGUCCUCCUCCCUGUUGUGCAGGCUCGCACAGAAGUCAUUAACUGCCCGGAAAAAAGACUUUACAUCAUUUCAAAGACUCUCCUGCACCGGGAGCGCAUUCAGCUGUGGAAAUGAUUCAUUGCACACCACCUGUCUACUGUCUGCGGAUAGAGGCUCCGCUGGCAGCCCGGACAGAGGCCCGUCACACGGACAGGGGCCCGCCCCACAGGGGAGGCUGAACGCGGCACUCUUUUAUUGGGAUACCGCAUACAAAAAUAUCCAGGCCUGUCUUUUUCUUUGGCGGUUUUUUACUUAGCAGGAGGUGAAGAAGCUCAGUGCAAUUACACUCAUUUGCAUGUGUUAAUUUGAUUAAUUAGUGAAUAUAAACACUUUGGUAUGCGACUCCUGUCGUACAAGUCUAUAUACCUGCAAACUUUUCAGGGGGAAGAAGAAAGACUCGUAGCCGAGAGAAUCUAUUUAUGAGACCUGCUAAUUGGCACCUGAAUAUGUUCAGCUAAUUAGCAAUAUGCAGAUGAGACUUGAUUGGUUUGAAUGCAAAGCACAACUCGCUGUGCUGUGGGAUUCGGAUUGCGCGAAGCCUUCUUAUUUCCUUAUCAAGAUAUGACGAUAAUUGCAAUUAUGAGCAUUUGCAUACGUUAAUGAAUUUGCCUGAUGCGUCUCUGCCAGACGUGCAAUAAAUAAUUGAUGCCGUA